ensembl:lncRNA
AUGUGGCAGAAAACACCUACUUACUGUGCCCAACCUUUACAUGUGUCAGUCCGGGCACCCACCAGAGACUGGUCCCCCUUUUUCAGGGAGAAGACUCCUCUUAUGUUUCUAGGGACAAGGUCCUAUUCUACUAACAAUGCCCCCUCCUCCCCUCUUCAUGGGGCUAACUCUGCCAGACUUGCUUGGAUAUCCACUACUCUGGUAAGUGCUCCUCCAAUGAGUUCUCUCUGCACUGGGUUGCAGUGGUGGGUCCAAGGGGGGAUGUGGUAGCCUCAGCUCUGAUUCUUCUCCGUACCACCAUGCCUGUCAUGGAUCUGAACACCAGUCGGAGAGAUUGAGACCUGGCAAGAGACAGAGUAGGCAUGGAGAGAAAAGAAGAUAUUUAUGGAAUGACUGAGCCAUCUUUGCUUUCUAGAUAAAGGAGGUUCUGGGGCUCUGACUGCUUCUGCUGUCUGCUUGUCUCAUCUCCUGGCUCCAUUUCCCUGAGCUCCCGGGGACCUAGGAAUGUUGAUUCAUUUGAAGGGCCUGCAUGGGGGAAUUAGGGCAGUGGGGCAAGCUCACAGGCUGGACAGCAGUACCCCUUGGUCCCUCUUAACUGUGUGGCCAGUGUGUCACUGGCUACUCAUGGUCACUUGUAGCCACUAUGUUGUACUGUUCCAGGAAGGACCAGCAGUGGGAUCAGGAUUUGGGGAGGGAGGUCUUCUUUGGGUGGGGCAAAGGGUCAAAGGGGCCCUGACCCUAGAUUAGGGUUCAAGUUCAGCUCUGCCUCUGAUUUUCUGGGUAGCCUGGAGCAAAUCCCUAUUUUCCUCUGGGCCUCAGUCUUCUGUACAUUAAGGAGGUCAGAAGGGAUGAUCUUUAAAGCACCUUUCAUGUCAAAAAAGACAUGAGGUCCUAUGACUCACAUACUGGGAGAUGGGAUAGAGACAGAAGCCAUCCCAUGGCAAGAUGAUAAACAUUGCAGUGAUUCAUUCGUCCUGAGGCUGUUCUGGAAAUGGGUUGCUAUAGAUAGGGGCAGAGCUCAGCACAAUUCCAGCAAUCUGGACAGAAGGAUCUGGAGAUAGCCACAUACCAGCCAGGGUAGCAACACAUGGCACACUAUUCACACUUUGGAAAUGGGCCUGUGAAUAGCAGCACCAUCACUGUCUCCCCAGGCCUGGGUGUGUGUGUGAAUGCAUGUGCAUAUGUACAUGCAGGCGAGUGGACAGGUGUGCCUGGGAACAUGUGCCUGCAUAUGAAUGUAUGCCACUGAUGCAUGUGAAAAUAUGUGUAGUAUGUAAAUGAAUGAAUGAGAAAGUAUAUUCAUGUGUAUUAAGGACAAAGCAUUUUAUAUAGCUUCACUGUUCCGGGCAAACCAAGAUCGGUGUUUCUUUGUUUAUUUCCACAUACUUGUGGGCAGACACAUUCCUUGGUACAUGUGUGUGCACACACACAUACACACACAGAGCUUCCAGGAAUCAGCUUCAAGAAACAUUCCUGCCUAGGGAUGCCUGGUUAGCUCAGUGGUUGAGCAUCCAUCCACCUUUGGCUCAGGGCGUGAUUCCGGGUCUAGAGAUGGAGUCCUGCAUUGGGCUUCCUGUGGGGAGCCUGCUUCUCCCUCUGCCUAUGUCUCUGCCUCUCUCUCUAUGUCUCUCACGAAUAAAUAAAUAAAAUCUUAAAAAAAAAAAGAAACA